rnacentral:rRNA from 1 species
GACGAACGCUGGCGGCGUGCUUAACACAUGCAAGUCGAACGGAAAGGCCCUGCUUUUGUGGGGUGCUCGAGUGGCGAACGGGUGAGUAACACGUGAGUAACCUGCCCUUGACUUUGGGAUAACUUCAGGAAACUGGGGCUAAUACCGGAUAGGAGCUCCUGCUGCAUGGUGGGGGUUGGAAAUUUUCGGCGGUUGGGGAUGGACGCGCGGCUUAUCAGCUUGUUGGUGGGGUAGUGGCUUACCAAGGCUUUGACGGGUAGCCGGCCUGAGAGGGUGACCGGCCACAUUGGGACUGAGAUACGGCCCAGACUCCUACGGGAGGCAGCAGUGGGGAAUAUUGCACAAUGGGCGGAAGCCUGAUGCAGAAACGCCGCGUGCGGGAUGACGGCCUUCGGGUUGUAAACCGCUUUCGCCUGUGACGAAGCGUGAGUGACGGUAAUGGGUAAAGAAGCACCGGCUAACUACGUG